rnacentral:lncRNA from 1 species
GUGGAUUUGGCAAUGGAUGCACUGAACUGAUGCACAAGAUCCAAUGCUCCAUAACUAUAACCUUCAUCUUCUUCAUCAGUUUGGCAGAGAGACUCACAGAAGAAGCAGCAGUGCUUUGAAGCUAGUCUGUCUCUGUGGCACAGAUUCGAAAGCUGCUAUCAUAGUUGUCACUGCAUUCGUGCGUUGUGUUCUGCCACUAUUGUGUUUUGAAUAUAUCUUUCCGUUUUUAGGAGACCAUGCUCACUCUAGGUAUGAGGGGAAUGUUGUUCUCUUUCUCAUCACAUUUCCUAUAAUCCUAUCUUAGGGAUAUUGUUUAGGGCAUUUGUUAGAGCAUAAGAACUAAAUUUUUCUACAAAAUAAAGAAAUUGGGGAGCUGUUGAAGUUAUUUUUAGACUUAUCAUUUAUCGAAAUCAAAUAAGUGUAAUGUAAAAGUUAAGUUGAUGAAACGUAACUUUGACUUGAUGAGAUGAAGUAUAUAUAUAGUUGCGUAGAAAAUAAAUGGUAAUUAUAUGAGUUCGAACUAAGUAAGUGUUGAAAUGAAAAAAGUCUAAAUAACAACGACAUUUGAUUUGAGGAAUGAAGAACUUUUUCUUUUCUUUUUUCAAAAAUGGUCAAGUACCUCACGUUUUUUCAGAUUAGUUGCACCAAAACUUCCAUUUCCCGGUUAAGAAACGACCAAAGAUCAAAAUGUUAAAUCAGAUGUGCAUAAUCUUAUACCUUACAUUCCAUUAUCAACAUGAACAGAGCUCAUGAGUUAUGAGUAUUGACAAAUAUAGGAUGUUAAUGAAAGAAAAAGCUAACUUUUGAAAAGAAGAAUUAAACUUCUGUAUUCCAUUACUAAGUACAGCUAAAUUAGGCAUCUAACCUCAACUAAAUUCUUUUCUGUUCACCCCUCUGGGUUCUUAUUUUUCAUCAAUUGACAUAGUAACUUUGCCAAGUUUCACCUUCCAUUUUCAUUCUCAUCCUUAUCCUCACUCUACGCCGGUCAGGGCAGGAAAGCAACUCCCGGACCUGGUAAGCCCCGGGCGGCCACCCAUCCUCAUGGGAGUACUCGGAGUCGAACUCGAGCCCCUCGGAGAGUCCAAACUGCGCCGGAGAAUCUUUGUCAUGGCAGAUAUCAAAUGAAUAGUAGGGUUCAGAGGAG